UACGGAGGUCCCAAGCGUUGUUCGGAUUCACUGGGCGUAAAGGGUGCGCAGGUGGGUUGGCAAGUUUGAUGUGAAAGCCCCGGGCUUAACCCGGGAAUGGCAUUGAAUACUGCUGAUCUGGAGGAUUGGAGGGGGGACUGGAAUUCUUGGUGUAGCAGUGAAAUGCGUAGAUAUCAAGAGGAACACCAGUGGCGAAGGCGAGUCCCUGGACAAUACCUGACACUGAGGCACGAAAGCCAAGGGAGCAAACAGG
rnacentral:rRNA from 1 species